ACAUACGGAGUUACGACGUGCUCAGUGCUCUGCCUCCGCUGCUGUUUCCAAAACCGUUCGUCGCCCGAUUCUCGCGAGUCUCCUCGUAACGUCGCAGUCCGUAGCAGCGCGGGAUGGUGCUGGUGUGAUGCGUCGUUCGUAGCGUCAACGCCGCCGCCCGCACGUAAAACCCGCGGGGCUGGGCGGGUGCCGCACGCACACGAUGAUCGCCCCGCCCGCCUCAUCGGCGGCUGCUGCCGCCGCACGCUGAAAACAGCUGACCGCCCAGCGCGUAGCAGCAGCGACGAUGGCAGCGAAGGACGUGGCUCGCUCGCCGUUCGAGUUCCUCAGCCUGGUACCGCAGGGCCAUGAGAAGGCGCUCAAGCUGGCCGUCUACAACACGGCGACGCUCGUGUUCGCCGCCUUCGUGAGCGCCGCCGGUGUGGCCGUGUACUUCAUACUGCAGCCCUUCCUCGGGCCGCUCCUGUGGGCGCUCCUCUUCGGGUCGGUGCUUCACCCGUUCAAGCGCUCGCUCUGCCUGCUCCUGGGCGGAUGGCUGGACGCGCUGCGCGAGGCGGGCACGCCGCUCGCCGUGGGCGUCUUCUGCCUGCCCUUCCAGGUGGUCGACAGCGUGGCCGAGCGUGCUUGCAACACGGUGCUGCAGUACUUCAAGUGGUUCCUCGCCGCCUCCAUACUCGUGCCCCUCGUCUACUUCGCGCACCACUUCCUGCCCGUCACGGUCGCCUGGAAAGUGUUCGCCGUCCUGCGCGUCUUCUACCACAUCGUGUCGGCGACGUUGGAGAUCUUCUCCUCGGGAUGGAUGGUUUGGGGAAUGCUGGUGGGCUAUCUAGGCGCGCUGGUGUUCUGGUGGACACCGCAGACGGAAGGGCCCCUACGCGCUAUGUCGCCUGCUGUUUGGCUGGCUGUCAUCUGCCAUCUGGCCACCGUGGCAGGCAUGUGGCGGGUGCCAAUCCUGGUUGCAUUCCUGGCCCUGCUUGCCACAGGCUUCCUGGCUGAGCUGCGCGGUGCCACAAUUGAGUGUGGGGAGCAUGGAACAGCAGAGCCCGGUUCACCUUGUGUGAGCACGCUGUACGCUGGCUGGGCUUGGCUCACGGGAUCACCUGUGGCAGCAUCUACUCAGGACCACCUGGGCCCUCCGAAGCCGAUCGCCAAGAAGCGGGUGUCAUUCAGCCUUGAGCCAGACACUGUGUUUCUGCCAGGCAUGGCCCCACCAGAGUCUCCACGCAAGACCUCCCUGUCGUCUCAAGAUAAAGGCGCCAGCCAAGAGGCCGACGGUGCCAGCACCAGUGCACCAUCGGACGAAUCAAAGAUAGCACCCCUGCACCCUGUUCUGCACCGGCAACCCUCUCCUGCACCUGGAUCGAGCGAGGGCGACAUUGUGCUGCCAGCCAUCACAGUGCAGCCAGCCAUCACUGUGCAAGACAGUGACCAGGGCAGCAAGAGCAAGGAGGAAGAUUCUGAGGCAAAAAGUGGCAAGGAUGCUGGGAGGAGCAGACUUUACCUGUCCACGCUGGUGUGGGCCUGCCUGCUUGCUCAACUGUGGCGCUACAUCUGGCUCCUGCAUCUCACUUACGUGCCUCUGCUGUACACCGUCAUCAAGCGAGUGGGCAACCACUUGAACCUAUGGAGCUGUCUUCGGGAUCAGUCACGUACUGCGUGCUGGACAUUGCGUAACUGGUACGAAGAACGUAGCCAGGCGCUUUUCCCAGCCCCCGUGCACGGUCUUUGGCGACUGCUGCGGGAGGGAGACAAGCGUAUGGUGUCUGUGCUCAAAACGUCCAUAGACUCUCUCACCACCAUUGGCAUUUUGCUGGUAGUGUCUCUCCUGGCCACUGUGGGCACCAUCUUCCUCGCUUUGCAGGUAUACGGUGAGAGCAUGCACUUGGUGGAGGUGACAAGCAGCCUCAUCAACCACACUGUUGUCAACAGCCCAGAGCUCCAGCAACUACUGCCCGAAUCUUUGCGCAACGCCCAGGGGGCAUUUGACUCAAUGCUGGGAGAUGCCUACCUCUAUGGGCGUCAGUGGAUCAGUGGCGCGGUGCGACGAGCCCUGGAUGAUGCAGAUGAGUCGCACAUGUUGGAAGUUGAGCGGCAGACACUGGAGCUCUGGGACCGUGCCUACCACCUGUGGGUGGCACGCAAUGCCACUGAUGACCCCACCCAUCACCACGGGCCCUCGUGGGAUGCUCUCGCCGAUUCCCUGCAGAACCUCGAUUUUUCCCUCUUUACCAGCUUUGUUCGGGACAACAUCGGCACUCUUAUGUCGGUAUUUGAAUCUAUCUGGAACCUGCUGAAGGGCAACAUCAGUGUCGUUCUCAGCCUGGUUACAACAACAAUCUCAAUCCUGUUUGGCGGUGGUACUGCGGUUCUCAACUUUGUGCUAAAUUUUGUCGUGUUCUUGACUGCUCUCUUCUACCUUCUGCGUGCAAGCACGGACCGCUACAAGCCACUUGAUCUCUUUGCGAGCAUGUUGCCAGGCUCGGCUAGCCGCCUGGGCGAAGCUGUCGAGGAAGCUGUCGCGGGUGUCUUUGCAGCCUCUUUCAAGAUGGCCGCCUUCUACGGUCUCUACACAUGGCUAAUACACACGCUCUUUGAUGUCAAGAUGGUGUACAUUCCCACUGCACUGGCAUCCCUUUUUGGGGCGGUGCCUUUCAUUGGUGCAUACUGGGCCUGCCUGCCAGCUGUGCUGGAGCUGUGGCUGGUGCAAGCACAGCGUCUCAAGGCACUCCUCAUGCUUAUCUGCCAGCUGGCACCCACCUACUUUGUUGACUGCGCCAUCUAUGCCGAGAUUAAGGGGGGUGGUCAUCCCUUCCUGACUGGGCUGGCGAUAGCGGGCGGUGUUUUCUGCCUGGGCUUCCAGGGUGCACUGUUUGGGCCCAUGCUCCUGUGUGUUCUCAUUGUAGCCAUGAAAGUUUACCGCUCUGUGAUGCAAUCCAUGCCCUCUAGCACAGCGGGCCGACGCUUCAGCUUCAAGAGGUUUUAUUUGCCACGGCGAAACCAGAUGGUCGGGCUCUUUACACCAUCAAUGCUAAUUUGAGAAAUUGACAUCGGUGGCAGCAUCAAUGCUUGACCUCUUCACCCUUUGUGCAGGGGACUUAAACUGCACGUUUUAUCCAUCUGGAUGUUCACAAUAGACUAGCGUGGCAUGGCGCACAUCACCCCUGUGGAUCCAAGGUACAACAGCAGAUGAAGCAUCCUGGCAUCCACGGACAACCUGCCUCCUUACCAGCUGCUAGUCAUUUUGUGCCUUGCUCAGCCAGUUUCAAAUUGCCAAUGUAUGCCUUCCGUCUGCAGCGCACAACUGCCUCUGCAGCCUACAUCCUUGGCUUGUGCAAGCACCCUUUUAUGUUAACGCAAUUUUUCCUUGUCAUGUGUAUGCUAUACCAAUUGGUGCAGCACAGCAGAAUAUAACACGUUGUUGUCGCUUCGCGUAAAUGUUUUGAAAAUAUGUCGAAGCAAUAAUACUCGCAAUGUCACAAAUUCUUCUUGUGCUCGCAUUUCAAUACGGCCUAAGUACUACUAACACCAAAGAACAUUUUGUAAUUUUAUCGGUCACAUCAUCUGUUGAAGCUCGCCUUGUGGUCAUCGGGGCAUGUGACCAGGAAUGGCAACUUUUUGUGUGUGAAAUGUAUACGUCCAGAAAGCGUUGUUAUUGGUAAAAUCUUGCAUUUGAAUAGCGCAGUUAAGAAUUUUCACUAAGCACAAUCAUUUCAGGGAUGGAUCUGUUGCUGCUAGUUCCUCUAAUACUGUGUGAUUCAAGCAUGAAUGUUGAAUAGAUCAAUGACAGGUAACUUGGUGCCUGAAAAUUGCCUCCCAUCAUGUUGCUUAAUCCUUGUUGGUACAGAAGCUGCUUGCUAUUCAGACUAUUGAUAAUAUACAUCAGAUCUGCGGGAUGCAACCAUUGAUGUUAUUUAAACCAUUGAUGUUAUUUACAAAAUAAAGGUUGUGUUUAAUGAAAA